GGAGGUCACUUAGCUAUUAGAAGGUUAGGUCUCUUUGUAUUAUACCUUAUAAACAAGGCUCAUUUGGACUUAGGGCUUCCCUUAGGGGUGACAACCUUACCAAGGAGAUCAUUUCUACCAGUGGGAUCCAUCCAGCAGAUCAGUUCUUAAGUUCAGCUUCAUCAUGUAAACUGCUACACAGUGCAGGCUGACUUCGCAUUCACCAUUCAGAUGCCCUCUUCUAGUUUUAUGUUCUUGGCAGCAGUGAAAAGGACCUCAGAGUUCUCAGGCAAGAUGAUCUUCACUGAGCUAUAUGUUGGAGGAACCCAGAACCAUCAUAGUUUUAGGGUGUAGCUGAAAAUCCUUACUGUGAAUGGGGUUUGUGGCACUGAAAGUUACCCCUUCCCUGGGAAUUUUGUAGGAACCCUUGCCACACAAAUCAAUGGAGCAGUGGGAAGAAGCACCACAAGAUAUGCCUUUUUUUUUUCCUUUAAAAAAUGUUUGAAAACUCCUACUAAUAUGGGUAGGAAAGCUUCUGCCACAUCUGAUCAUAAAAUGAGAGUUGCUCAAAAUACUAGUGCAGAUCACUCUGACAUGUGAAAUGCAACACUUCAGGAUUUGUGCUGGAAACUUAAUAAAUACAGUGAACUUGAAAAGCUUAUCCCUAAACUGUAAUCCUCCCAAACAAAACAAAAACAAAGCAAGAAAAAAAAAGUUAUUUAAAAUUGUCAAAAGAGGCUGCAUUUUUUGAGGUUACCAAAAUUAUAUCUUUAGACCUUUCUUCUGAUUUGGUAUUUUAUGUAUUUAAGCAGUUACCUGAUUCUGAUUUAAAGGAGCAAUUUUAUUUCUUCUUUUCUAACUCAUUUACCCAGUGAGUUUGUGUGACUAUAGAGAAAAGUAGGCUGUGUGGUUUUUCUAGUUGUCUAUACAUGUUGCCUCAUAGAGCAUAUGUACACAUGUGUAAAGUUUUCAUUUCCACUAAGCCAUUCACUCCCUAGAUACUAUGCUGGUAUUUGUUUUUCUGCUGAGGUCUCCCACAUUUUUAAUGCCUUUCUGAGUUAUUCCUCCUGAAGGAACAUUAUAUACUAUACUGGAAGCAAAUGAGGCUUUUCUUAAACUUCCAGUCUUGGGUUUUGCAUGUAGCAUUUCCAUUCCUUACAGAUGAAUGAGUUCUUUUUUCCCUAUUGACUAUUAGGGCUUUGCCUUAUGGAAAGGAAUAGGGUGGUGAAGGGAAAAUAUUUUGAGAUCUUGCCUGGUCUUAAUAGGGAGUUUGUGACACUUAGAUUUUCAAGUGUUCAGUUUAUACCUUUCCCAAAUCUGGUUGCAGUGUAUUUAGUCAAGCAUUGAAGACCUAACAUAUGGCAUGUUUUGCAAGACACAGGGAAAGAAAAAUGAACUGAGAACAGCGAGACCUUCUGGAAAUUCCCAGGGUGGGACGCUGCAAACCCUGGGUCCUGGGCCUGCCUGAAUCACAGCCUCAGUGGGAGGAUCUUAUGAAAGGCUCUGCCUUUUCCCAUGGUACUGUAGAAACUGCAAAUAUAAUGACGAUAUGGAGAGCAGGGGCAGAAAGCAAGGGUUUCUUCGCUGGAAUAAGGAAGAGGAGGAAGCCAAGGAAGACAGAGACUGUGGCAUCAGUGCGGUAGCCUUUCCUAGUAAAGAGACAAGCAUAGCUGAGGAGAAGGGUCAGGAAUUUUCAGGAGUAACAUGAUGUCUCGGGGCAGUCUGUGCAAACACAGUGUCUUUUUAGGACCUAGUCUAGAGGUGAAAUUAACCUUAGUUCUUGCCAGUUGCGGCCAUGCUAUCCACAGUGGAUUUAAUGGGCAGUGGUGAAUGUCUGGAGGCAGGGCCUGACUAGAGUAGAUGUCUUGGUGUGAAUUUGUGAGCCCGUUAAUUGGGGCAAGUCCUAGAAGGAGUGAUCAGGAGUGAAGAUGGUUAGAUGAGAAUAGAAGAGGAUGAGACCUCUUUCCUAUGAAGGCCACACCUCCAUGUGCCUCCCUUCUCAAGUGAGAAGUUGGUCUCUUUUCUUUACAGUUGGUACUUUAUAGAUGUUUUCUCCUUUAACUCUCAUAACCACCUAUGAGGUAACCAAGCUUCCAGGAGCUUAUGUAAUGAGACUACGUGCAGCACUGGAUCCCAGCCCCAGACCAGGACUCCAAAGGGUGUUUUUCCUUUCUGAUUUCACACUGCAGCCUCCCUAAAAAGAGUGGAUUCCCCAGGGAAUGAAAUCUUCCUGGCUUCAUAUCUUCCCCUGAGAGUCUACGAAGGAUGCCAGUAGUUGUUGCCUAAAGAAUUGGGGUGAGGGAGUUGUUCUUAAGGAGGAAGUUGUAUUACUUACUUUUCAAAGAAAGAAUCCCAGCCAGGGACAAAGCCAGGCUCCCGGGUAAACCACAGUACGGUCAUCAGGAUGAAGAAAAAUCCAGUCACCAUUUCAGGGUAGCUAUAAAAUAAAACAGAAAGACCCACUCAGGAACUGAGAAAUUUCUCCUAGCUUUUUCACUUUGCUUCUGGAAGCUUCUGUAUUUAGAGUUUCAAUACCCUAGACAUAAAACACACUCACUGCCUAACCACUAUGAAUGGCUGACAGUGAGAUGAGGACAAGACUGAGUGCCCCCAGAAAACAUGACAUUAACCAUGUUCCCUGGAGAAACUUCUGUGGAAAGGGCAAGAGAACACAGCACUGUACAUUUAUAAAUAAUUUCAAAUACAGCCUACAAGGAGAAUACAGUGAAACAGGCACUCCCAAACACUGUGCAGGUGGGAAGAGGAAUUGCUACAACCUUUUUGAGGCCAUUUGAUGAUAUACAUCAGAAGCCUUAAAGCUGGUCAUUCCCUGGCCAGGUGUGGUGGCUCACGCCUGUAAUCCCAGCACUUUGGGAGGCCGAGGCGGGCGGAUCACGAGGUCAGGAGAUGGAGACCGUCCUGGCUAACACAG